rnacentral:rRNA from 1 species
GAUGAACGCUGGCGGCGUGCCUAAUACAUGCAAGUCGAGCGAACGGACGAGAAGCUUGCUUCUCUGAUGUUAGCGGCGGACGGGUGAGUAACACGUGGAUAACCUACCUAUAAGACUGGGAUAACUUCGGGAAGCCGUAGCUAAUACCGGAUAAUAUUUUGAACCGCAUGGUUCAAAAGUGUAAGACGGUCUUGCUGUCACUUAUAGAUGGAUCCGCGCUGCAUUAGCUAGUUGGUAAGGUAACGGCUUACCAAGGCAACGAUGCAUAGCCGACCUGAGAGGGUGAUCGGCCACACUGGAACUGAGACACGGUCCAGACUCCUACGGGAGGCAGCAGUAGGGAAUCUUCCGCAAUGGGCGAAAGCCUGACGGAGCAACGCCGCGUGAGUGAUGAAGGUCUUCGGAUCGUAAAACUCUGUUAUUAGGGAAGAACAUAUGUGUAAGUAACUGUGCACAUCUUGACGGUACCUAAUCAGAAAGCCACGGCUAACUACGUG